UGGGAUAUAGCCAAACUGGUAAGGCACUUGACUCUGAAUCAAGCAAUUGCAGGUUCGAACCCUGCUAUCCCAAUCA
rnacentral:tRNA from 1 species